AGCAGCCGCGGUAAUUCCAGCUCCAAUAGCGUAUAUUAAAGUUGUUGCAGUUAAAAAGCUCGUAGUUGAAUUUCGGGAUUCGUCCAUUGGUCAGGCUUAACUGUCUGUACUGGUGUGUCGGAUUUCUACCUUCUGAAGAACCUUUAUGCCAUUAAUUUGGUGUGUUGGGGAAUCAGGACUGUUACUUUGAAAAAUUAGAGUGUUUAAAGCAGGCUAACGUCUGAAUACAUUAGCAUGGAAUAAUGAAAUAGGACGGUACGGUUCUAUUUUGUUGGUUUCUAGGAUCGCCGUAAUGAUUAAUAGGGAUAGUUGGGGCAUUAGUAUUCAAUUGUCAGAGGUGAAAUUCUUGGAUUUA
rnacentral:rRNA from 1 species